AUUGUAGUCUGCAACUCGACACAUGAAGCUGGAAUCGCUAGUAAUCGCGAAUCGGAAUGUCGCGGUGAAUACGUUCCCGGGUCUCGUACACACCGCCCGUCACACCAUGGGAGUUGGUAACGCCCGAAGUCAGUGACCCAACCGAAAGGAGGGAGCUGCCUAAGGCGGGACCGAUAACUGGGGUGAAGUCGUAACAAGGUAGC
rnacentral:rRNA from 1 species